GACGAACGCUGGCGGCGUGCCUAACACAUGCAAGUCGAGCGAUGAAAUCCUUCGGGAUGGAUUAGCGGCGGACGGGUGAGUAACACGUGGGUAACCUGCCUUGUAGAGGGGGAUAGCCCUUCCGAAAGGAGAUUAAUACCGCAUAACAUCUUUUAUCGCAUGGUAGAAAGAUCAAAGGAGCAAUCCGCUACAAGGAUGGACCCGCGGCGCAUUAGCUAGUUGGUGAGGUACGCUCACCAAGGCACGAUGCGUAGCCGACCUGAGAGGUGAUCGGCCACAUUGGGAACUGAGACACGG
rnacentral:rRNA from 1 species